GAGAGCAGCUUUGCUUCUUUGCAACCUAAUCUUGCCAGAUCUCAGAAGCUAAGCAAGGCUGGGCCUGUUCAGUAGUGGGAUGAGAGACUCUAGGGAAAACUAGGUUGCUGUGGUGA
rnacentral:rRNA from 1 species